UGGGCUUUUCCAAUGGGGGCGUUCGAUGUUAGUCGAGCGGAUGAGUGGAGCUUGCUCCAUGAUUCAACGGCGGACGGGUGAGUAAUGCCUAGGAAUCUGCCUGGUAGUGGGGGACAACGUUUCGAAAGGAACGCUAAUACCGCAUACGUCCUACGGGAGAAAGUGGGGGAUCUUCGGACCUCACGCUAUCAGAUGAGCCUAGGUCGGAUUAGCUAGUUGGUGGGGUAAAGGCUCACCAAGGCGACGAUCCGUAACUGGUCUGAGAGGAUGAUCAGUCACACUGGAACUGAGACACGGUCCAGACUCCUACGGGAGGCAGCAGUGGGGAAUAUUGGACAAUGGGCGAAAGCCUGAUCCAUCCAUGCCGCGUGUGUGAAGAAGGUCUUCGGAUUGUAAAGCACUUUAAGUUGGGAGGAAGGGCAGUAAGUUAAUACCUUGCUGUUUUGACGUUACCGACAGAAUAAGCACCGCCUAACUUCGUGC
rnacentral:rRNA from 1 species